GGACCCGCACAAGCGGUGGAUGAUGUGGUUUAAUUCGAUGCAACGCGAAAAACCUUACCCACCUUUGACAUGUACGGAAUCCUUUAGAGAUAGAGGAGUGCUCGAAAGAGAGCCGUAACACAGGUGCUGCAUGGCUGUCGUCAGCUCGUGUCGUGAGAUGUUGGGUUAAGUCCCGCAACGAGCGCAACCCUUGCCAUUAGUUGCUACGAAAGGGCACUCUAAUGGGACUGCCGGUGACAAACCGGAGGAAGGUGGGGAUGACGUCAAGUCCUCAUGGCCCUUAUAGGUGGGGCUACACACGUCAUACAAUGGCUGGUACAGAGGGUUGCCAACCCGCGAGGGGGAGCCAAUCCCACAAAGCCAGUCGUAGUCCGGAUCGCAGUCUGCAACUCGACUGCGUGAAGUCGGAAUCGCUAGUAAUCGCGGAUCAGAAUGUCGCGGUGAAUACGUUCCCGGGUCUUGUACACACCGCCCGUCACACCAUGGGAGCGGGUUCUGCCAGAAGUAGUUAGCCUAACCGCAAGGAGGGCGAUUACCACGGCAGGGUUCGUGACUGGGGUGAAGUCGUAACAAGGUAGCCGUAUCGGAAGGUGCGGCU
rnacentral:rRNA from 1 species